AACGUAGGUGGCAAGCGUUAUCCGGAUUUACUGGGCGUAAAGGGUGUGCAGGCGGGGAAGCAAGUGGGGUAUGAAAUCUCCAGGCUUAACCUGGAGGGGUUAUGCCAGACUGCUUUUCUAGAGGACGAGAGAGGGGGGUGGAAUUCCGGGUGUAGUGGGGAAAUGCGUAGAGAUCCGGAGGAACCCCAGAGGCGAAGGCGGCCCCCUGGCUCGUACCUGACGCUCAGCCACGAAAGCAUGGGGAGCGAACGGG
rnacentral:rRNA from 1 species